GACGAACGCUGGCGGCGUGCUUAACACAUGCAAGUCGAACGGAAAGACCCUGCUCUUGUGGGUUGCUCGAGUGGCGAAGAGGGGAGUAACACGUGAGUAACCUGCCCUUGUCUUUGUGAGAACUUCAGGGAACUGGGGCGAAUACCCGAGAGGAUCUCCUGCUGCAUGUGGGUGGUUGGAAAGUUUCGGCUGUUGGGGAUGGACUCGCUGCUUAUCAGCUUGUUUGUGGGGUAGUGGCUUACCAAGGCUUUGACGGGUAGGCGGCCUGAGAGGGUGACCGGCGACAUUGGGCCUGAGGUAGGGAGCAGACUGCUACGGGACGCAGUAGUCGGGAAUAUUGCACAAUGGCGGGAAGCGUGAUGUAGCAACGCUGCGUGCGGAAUAAUGGCCUUCGGGUUGUAAACAGAUUUCGAAUGUGCCGUAGACUGAGUGACGGUACUGGGUCAAGAAGCAACGGCUAACUACGUG
rnacentral:rRNA from 1 species